UGUCGUCAGCUCGUGUCGUGAGAUGUCGGGUUAAGUCCCUUAACGAGCGCAACCCUUGUCGCUAGUUGCCAGCGAGUCAUGUCGGGGACUCUAGCGAGACUGCCGGUGUCAAACCGGAGGAAGGUGGGGAUGACGUCAAGUCAGCAUGGCCCUUAUGUCCUGGGAUGCAAACGUGCUACAAUGGCCUGUACAGAGCGACGCGAUACCGCGAGGUGGAGCAAAUCGCAAAAAGCAGGCCCCAGUUCGGAUUACAGUCUGCAACUCGACUGUAUGAAGUUGGAAUCGCUAGUAAUCGCGGAUCA
rnacentral:rRNA from 1 species